rnacentral:rRNA from 1 species
AGAGUUUGAUCAUGGCUCAGAAUCAACGCUGGCGGCGUGCCUAACACAUGCAAGUCGCACGAGAAAGGGGAGCAAUCCCUGAGUAAAGUGGCGCACGGGUGAGUAACACGUGACUAACCUACCUCUGAGUGGGGAAUAACUGAGAGGAAUCUUAGCUAAUACCGCAUAACACUUACGAGUCAAAGCAGCAAUGCGCUUAGAGAGGGGGUCGCGGCAGAUUAGUUAGUUGGCGGGGUAAUGGCCCACCAAGACGAUGAUCUGUAUCCGGCCUGAGAGGGCGCACGGACACACUGGAACUGAAACACGGUCCAGACUCCUACGGGAGGCAGCAGUGGGGAAUUUUGCGCAAUGGGGGAAACCCUGACGCAGCAACGCCGCGUGGAGGAUGAAAUAUCUUGGUAUGUAAACUCCUUUCGAUGGGGAAGAUUAUGACGGUACCCAUAGAAGAAGCCCCGGCUAACUUCGUGCCAGCAGCCCGCGGUAAUACGAGGGGGGCAAGCGUUGUUCGGAUUUAUUGGGCGUAAAGGGUGCGUAGGCGGUUUGGCAAGUCUGAUGUGAAAUCUAUGGGCUCAACCCAUAGUCUGCAUCAGAAACUGCCGGGCUUGAGUAUGGGAGAGGUGAGUGGAAUUUCCGGUGUAGCGGUGAAAUGCGUAGAUAUCGGAAGGAACACCUGUGGCGAAAGCGGCUCACUGGACCAUAACUGACGCUGAUGCACGAAAGCUAGGGGAGCAAACAGGAUUAGAUACCCUAGUAGUCC